GGGGUUCGAUCAUGGCUGGAAUGAACGCUGGCGGGAUGCUUUACACAUGCAAGUCGAACACAACGCUGGACUUUCGGUCUGGUAGCUGAGUGGCGAACGGGUGAGUAAUGUAUCGGAACGUGCCCUAGUAAAGCGAAAGGAUAACUGCACUUGAAAGCGUAGCUAAGCCACAUACGCCCUUCUGAGGAAAGCAGGGACCUUCGGGCCUCGCACUAUUAGAGCGGCGAAAUAUCGGAUUAGCUAGUUGGUGGGGUAACGACCACCAAGGCGACGAUCAUGAGCGCUGGUUUGAGAGGACGACUGACCACACUGGGACUGAGACACGGCCCAGACUCCUACGAGAGGCAGCGGUGGGGAAUUUUGGACAAUGAAACUGAAAUCCAGCCAUCCCGCGUGCGAUAAGAAGGCCUUCGGGUUGUAAGCACCUGGGCAGGAAAGAAACGGCACGGGAUAAUACCCGUGCAACCCGAGACAAUACUACUGCAGAAUAAGCACCGGCUUCAACUUUACGUGCCAGCAGCCGCGGUAAUACGUAGGGUGCAGCGUUAAUCGGAAUUACUGGGCGUAAAGCGUGCGCAGGCGGUUCCGGAAGAAAGAUGUGAAAAGCAUCCCAGAGCUUAACUUUGGAACUUUGCAUUUUUAACUACCGAGCUAGAGUGUGUCAGAGGAGAGGUGGAAUUCCUGGUGUAGCAGUGAAAUGCGUGGAUAUGCGGGAGGAACACCGAUGGCGAAGGCAGUCAGGAUAUGCCGGCGCUCAUGCGAAAGCGUGGGGAGCAAACGGAUUAGAUACCCUGGUAGUCCACGCCUAAACGAUGUCAACUGGCUGUUGGGGCCUUCCGGGCCUUGGUAGGCCUGGCUAACGCGUGAAGUUGACCGCCUGGGGGGUACGGUCGCAAGAUUAAAGACUCAAAGGAAUUGACGGGGACCCGCACAAGCGGUGGAUGAUGUGGAUUAAUUCGAUGCAACACGCGAAAAACCUUCCUACCUUGACAUGUCUGGAAUCCCGAAGAGAUUUGGGAGUGCUCGCAAGAGAACCGGAACACAGGUGCUGCAUGGCUGUCGUCGUGUUGUCUGUCGUGAGAUGUUGGGUUAAGUCCGCAACGAGCGCAACCCUUGUCAUUAGUUGCUACGAAAGGAGCCUCUAAUGAGACUGCCGGUGACAAACCGGAGGAAGGAUAGGGAUGACGUCAAGUCUCCCAUGGCCCUUAUGGGUAGGGCUUCACACGUCAAUGGUCGGGACGGAGAGGGGUCGCCAGACCCGCGAGGGGGAGCCAAUCCCAGAAACCCGAUCGUGGUCCGGAUCGCAGUCUGCAGCUCGACUGCGUGGAAGUCGGAUCCGCUAGUAAUCGCGGAUCAACAUGUCGCGGUGAAUACGUUCCGGGUCUUGUACACACCGCCCGUCACACCAUGGGGAUGGGUUUUACCAGAAGUAGUUAGCCCUAACCGUAAGGAGGCGAUUACCACGGUAAGGAUUCGUGACUGGGGUGAAGUCGUAAAGGUAAG
rnacentral:rRNA from 1 species